UACGGAAUGUGCAACCGUUAUUCGGAAUCACUGGGCGUAAAGCGUUCGUAGGCGGAGAUUUAAGUGAGAUGUGAAAGCGUGUGGCUCAACCAUAUCGUUGUGUCUCAUACUGGAUUUCUGGAGGAAGGCAGAGGCAAGUGGAAUUGGCAGUGUAGCAGUGAAAUGCGUAGAGAUUGCCAGGAACACCAAUGGCGAAGGCAGCUUGCUGGGCCUUUUCUGACGCUGAGGAACGAAAGCGUGGGGAGCGAACAGG
rnacentral:rRNA from 1 species